AUUUGAAGCUUAAGUUUAUUACAAGUAGCAUUCCAGGCUUACAAUCUGAUUUCUGUUACUUGAGGCAAUCACUGGAGCUACUUCUAACUUUGAACCUUGUAAAUUAAAGCAUCUCUUAAAUUGCUUUACUUUUGAAGAUUCAGUGUCUUGUGUGGCCUACAAGCUCAGUUAGAACAGACCAGCUUUAAAAGAGUUAGCGUCUUGAGCUUUGGAAGAAAUCACUUGGAAAUCCUUGGUUCUGAGUCCUCCAUUUCCUCCACAUCUAGAUCUUAAAUGCGGUAUCUGAUUAAUGUUGUAAGUGACAUUGCAUAUCAGCCUCAGAGUCUUGGUUCAAC
rnacentral:lncRNA from 1 species